rnacentral:rRNA from 1 species
GAUGAACGCUAGCUACAGGCUUAACACAUGCAAGUCGAGGGGAAACGAUAGAGAAAGCUUGCUUUUUCUAGGCGUCGACCGGCGCACGGGUGAGUAACGCGUAUCCAACCUGCCCAUCACUUGGGAAUAACCUUGCGAAAGUAAGACUAAUACCCAAUGACGUCCAUAGAAGACAUCUGAAAGGGAUUAAAGAUUUAUCGGUGAUGGAUGGGGAUGCGUCUGAUUAACUUGUUGGCGGGGUAACGGCCCACCAAGGCGACGAUCAGUAGGGGUUCUGAGAGGAAGGUCCCCCACAUUGGAACUGAGACACGGUCCAAACUCCUACGGGAGGCAGCAGUGAGGAAUAUUGGUCAAUGGGCGAGAGCCUGAACCAGCCAAGUAGCGUGCGGGAUGACGGCCCUAUGGGUUGUAAACUGCUUUUAUAAGGGAAUAAAGUGAGCCUCGUGAGGCUUUUUGCAUGUACCUUAUGAAUAAGGACCGGCUAAUUCCAUGCCAGCAGCCGCGGUAA